rnacentral:misc_RNA from 1 species
GUUUAUAAAAACGAACCCGACUGCUCUCUCUCUCUCGCAAGAGAGAGAGAGAGCGUUGAUCUGGGCGCUCGUGUCGCUAUCUCUUGCUGCUCUCUCAGAGAGUAGUAUAGCAGUGUGCGACACGUCGCCUCAAACGAAACGCAAGAGAAAAGAUGAAUUGGCGUUCGUCUGGCUGGCGCGCGCGCUUACCGCUUGGAGAGUGCUCGCGUGUGUAAAAGCGCGCGAGUACUUCCGAUCGUUCUGCGUUCGAGUCCCGGAGCUUCUCGCCUCGUCGAGCAGCGGACCGACCUGCAGUUAACGAUCAGGCUCGUCCAUGAUUCGGUACACUAGAAAGGCGCGCGCGCGCUAUUAUUUUUUAAUAAUGGCCAGCUCGAACAACAACGAUCUUUUUUCUCGAU